rnacentral:rRNA from 1 species
CAACGAGUGGCGGACGGGUGAGUAACACGUAGGUAACCUGCCCAGAAGCGGGGGACAACAUUUGGAAACAGAUGCUAAUACCGCAUAACAACGUUGUUCGCAUGAACAACGCUUAAAAGAUGGCUUCUCGCUAUCACUUCUGGAUGGACCUGCGGUGCAUUAGCUUGUUGGUGGGGUAACGGCCUACCAAGGCGAUGAUGCAUAGCCGAGUUGAGAGACUGAUCGGCCACAAUGGGACUGAGACACGGCCCAUACUCCUACGGGAGGCAGCAGUAGGGAAUCUUCCACAAUGGGCGCAAGCCUGAUGGAGCAACACCGCGUGAGUGAAGAAGGGUUUCGGCUCGUAAAGCUCUGUUGUUAAAGAAGAACACGUAUGAGAGUAACUGUUCAUACGUUGACGGUAUUUAACCAGAAAGUCACGGCUAACUACGUGCCAGCAGCCGCGGUAAUACGUAGGUGGCAAGCGUUAUCCGGAUUUAUUGGGCGUAAAGAGAGUGCAGGCGGUUUUCUAAGUCUGAUGUGAAAGCCUUCGGCUUAACCGGAGAAGUGCAUCGGAAACUGGAUAACUUGAGUGCAGAAGAGGGUAGUGGAGCUCCAUGUGUAGCGGUGGAAUG